UGGAGGCUAAAGUGGUUGACAUUGAGUUUGGAGAUCCUCUUGGAUUAGUAUGUGGUGUGUUGUAGUCCCUCUUUUGAUACUUAGGGUUUAAUAAUUGGUAUCCUUCUUUAGAGAAUUUUUUGAUUCUAUGCCUAUGGAUUGUAGUCCAUUUUCUAUGAUUUGUAUGCCCCAUUCAUUGCUUUUUCAAUAGUUCUGGUACCUAGGCAUCAAGUGGAACCAUGUGCAUGCUUGUUUACUGGUUGAUUAAAAGGCUACACCGACGUUGUUAUAUUAGGGUUUUUUUAAUGCUAAACUAUGUGUGUUUGCAACAACUUAAAAAGUAGAGGGGUGUCGCAACAAUAGAAUGAAAGAAGACGGGUGCAUUAGUGGAACUAUUUAAAAAGUAGAAGAGGUGUCCGUGGAACCGACACAAAAGUAGAGAAGAUGUGGGUGGGUCCGGUGGGACAAUGUAAAAGUUUAGAGGAUGUCUUUAUUGGAUAAAUAUGUUUAUUAGACAUAUUAUUGGAAUAUAAAGCAUAUAUUUUUUCUAUAUUUUCUCAAUUAUUGGAAAGAUCAUGCUUAAUCUUUAAAUCUAUUCAUCCUUAGUUUUUUUUUUUAAUUAUAUAGUAGAUGAUCAUUUCCUGUACCACUUUGUUAUAGAAAUAGCAUAAUGUAACUAAAGCCUAGAAACUUAGCUUAUAGGACAACAACUAUAAUUUUAGUUAUCCCCCAAAAAAUGCAAUGAUAUAACAUUGACUAAUUAUAUCCAACUUUAAAAGCCACCCAUGAGAUUAAGUAAUAGAAUUAUUUAAACAAGUAUAAAUAAAAAUAUUUUUCUCAAUGUUACAGUGUUUUAUGCAUUAUAUGGGUGGUCAUAAUUGCCGGAUAAUACUUUGAGCAUAUUAAAGAAAACUUCCAACUUUAACAAAUAAUUUUUUUAAGAAAAAUGACAAAUAAUAUAUAUUUUACAUAAAGAAAAGUGCUAAUUACAUGUUAAAUUGAUUGUCAUAUUCAUUUUUUAUUAAGAAGGUUAUGAAACUUCAAAUUAAUUUCUCUCUCCUCUGGAUCUUUUUUUACUUUGUGCUAGUUUUUGGCUAAUUUUAUAUGUAUAUGCAUACAUAGCCUAACUAGUUGUAGAAAAAGCUGUUUCAACUAUAGUUGUCACAGUUGGUAGAGUCAUUUCAAAGCCUAUAAACAAUAGAUACAAAUAUCUCUUUUCAACCAUCUUUUGAGCAAGGUAACCAAUAACCUUUCAUUUUGAAAACUUGAUAUUGGAUUGUGUAUUGUUGAAGUUAAUCCAGAUUUCUAGUUUAUCUCCAUCCUUGGAUUAGUUUGGCUGA
rnacentral:lncRNA from 1 species